CUGCGAAGUGCUCCGCGGCCGGCGGAGACGCGGGCAGCCAGCGAUGGCCGCGGAGGGGGCGAACUGGGUUCCGGCCCUCGGAGGCUGACGGAAGGCGGUGGCUGAGGAGCGGCGCCUCUGGUUGAGCGCUCGCCGUGUGUCCCGCACCUGUCUGUCCUGCCGCCGCCCGGUAAGAUACUUUGUGUCCUUUUUCUUUCCUGCAUGCUUUUUUUUUCUUAUUUUUUUGAGACAGAGUCUCACUCUGUUGCCAAGGCUGGAGUGCAGUGGCGGGAUCUCGGCUAACUGCAACCUCCCCAUCCCGGGUUCAAGCGAUUCUCCUGCCUCAGCCUCCCGAGUAGCUGCGAUUACAGACAUUUGCCACCAUGCCCGGCACAGCACAGCACCGCACAUCUCCAGUCGGACUGGCUACAUUUCAAGGGCUCAACCAUCACGCGUUACCAGUGGCUACUGCAUCAGACUGUGCAGUGCUAGAUGGGGAGUCAGAAGAGAAACCAAGUGAUUUCCAUGUCAAGUGGUGAACAGGCUAAGAAGAAAAGUAAAUUGGGGAAAGAGCAUGGGGAAUGUGGGGGUUGCUGUUUGAAAGAGGAUGGUUGGGAAGGCUGAAGAGCUGUCAUUCGCAGAGGGACCCAAAAGAGGUCCACUUACAGCUGGAUUUACUUCCACCUCUGCCACCUGUGAGACAGCGAGACCAACCCCUCCUCCUCCUCUUCCUAGCCUACUCCGAGUGAAGAUGAUGAAGAUGAAGACCGUUAUGAUCCACUUCCACUUAAUGAAAGAUGAAUAUAUUUUCUCUUCCUAAUGAUUUUUUUUUUUUUUUUUUUGGAGACAGAGUCUCGCUGCAUCCCCCAGGCUGGAGUACAGUGGUAUGAUCUUGGCUCACUGCAACCUCUGCCUCCUAGGUUCAAGUGAUUCUCCUGCCUCAGUCUCCCGAGUAGCUGGGAUUACAGGCGCCCACCACCAUGCCCGGCUAAUUUUUGUAUUUUUAGUAGAGAUGGGGUUUCACUAUGUUGGCCAGGCUGGUCUCAAACUCCUGACCUCAGGUGAUCUGCCUGACUUGGCCUCCCAAAGUGCUGGGAUUACAGGCAUGAGCCACCUUGCCUGGCCUCUUCCUAAUGAUUUUUUAAAGUACAUCUUGUUUUCUCUGUCUUACUUUAUCAUAAAAAUAUAUGAUACAAAUAAAAUACAGAAUAUGUGUUAAUGGACUGUGUAUGUUAUGAGUAAGCCUUCCAGUCGACAGUGGGCUAUUAUUGGUGGUUAAGUUUUGGGGGAGUGUGUGUUCAAGGGUCAACCGCACUUCCUGAGGGCACUGUGAGAACUAAGUUAAAUAACCCACUUUUACAAUCUUUGGAACCGGGGGCAGGUGGCUGGGGCUCACACCUGUAAUUACAGCACUUUGGGAGGCUGAGGCAGGAAGAUCCCUUGAGGCCAAGAGUUUGAGACCAGCCUGGGCAACAAAGCAAGACUCUGUCUCUACAAAAAUUUU
rnacentral:lncRNA from 10 species